AUUGAACGCUGGCGGCAGGCCUAACACAUGCAAGUCGAGCGGUAACGCGGGGCAACCCGGCGACGAGUGGCGAACGGGUGAGUAAUAUAUCGGAACGUGCCCUGGAGUGGGGGAUAACGUAGCGAAAGUUACGCUAAUACCGCAUACGAUCCAAGGAUGAAAGCAGGGGACCUUCGGGCCUUGUGCUCCUGGAGCGGCCGAUAUCUGAUUAGCUAGUUGGUGGGGUAAAAGCCUACCAAGGCGACGAUCAGUAGCUGGUCUGAGAGGAUGAUCAGCCACACUGGGACUGAGACACGGCCCAGACUCCUACGGGAGGCAGCAGUGGGGAAUAUUGGACAAUGGGCGCAAGCCUGAUCCAGCCAUGCCGCGUGAGUGAUGAAGGCCUUCGGUUGUAAGACGUCUUUCGCACGCGACGAUGAUGACGGUAGCGUGAG
rnacentral:rRNA from 1 species